UAGCUUUUGAAUGCCUUCCAGCUUGUCAAUAUCACCUUAAAAACGUCAUGUGAGACUGCAUUCAGUAUUUGGGAUAUCGUCUGAAAAAUACAGAGGGCUAUGGGGGUUUGGUGGUGGUGAUUAGUCCGAUCCUUGCCCUUCCCCUCUAAAUCCAGAACACUUUGAAAAAAACACAAGACCUAGAAAUCAGAUGAACGAAGAUCAAAAUAGUUCAUCUCACUGGAAAGACUGGCUGGGUGAAGCUAAGAUUACAAUAGGGCUUACUUAUUACCCCGGCCGAUAACCCUACUGACGUAAACUUAGCAGGGCUGGCUCUAGCACACCAGUGGUUUGUGGUAUUUGUUGGUCUGGUGAUGAGGUCAUUAAAACAUUUUGCAUUGACCAGUAAUUGACCCACCUUAACUCCAAGCUCCCCUUGCAGCGUCAGAUUCUGUCCUGGUGACGUUGCCGUGCUGAGAAAGUAUGUUCAGUGUAUCUCCCAAUCUCGGCCGCCAGAGUCACCCUCCUCCCCUCAGAGACGUAAGUGGAGAUGAAAUAUUAAGUGUUUAGCAUGGAGCCUUGCAGUAAAAGUCACUUAUUACCAAGGAUGAAAAGAUCACAUAGGUAACGGCGAGAAGAUGACCACCUAUGAGAAAGUAGACCCUCACCAGACACCAUAUCUGCCAGCACCUUGAUCUUGGAUUCCCAGCCUCCAGAACGCAUCACAGUAAGACUUGAAUUUAAGCUUCUCCCAGACACAGAAGAAAGACGAUUCCAAACCGUUUUGGCCACAGGGAGGUUACACAGCAUCUCAGCCACAUGCCGCUUCCUCCAGCCCCCUGUUUUUGGUUCUUCCUCUGCACAUGCCCACUCCGCUCCACGCAUCUUGCCAGUUGCUGGGGAAGCAACGGUGAAAAAAUCACUCAGUUGAGCUGCCGCAGCGUGACAAGCGGGCUUCGACAUCGACAACUUGUCUUUCUAGCCCUGCAUGAUAGGCAGGGCUAUCUUGCUGAAGAUUUUUUCAAGUGACAGUUUACAAUCCAAAUUAAAGUGAAAUCCAAGUAUGAACAGGGAGUACCAAUGUCAGCCAAGGACAAAUGGCUCAAUGGAUGCUAUUCAUGAAUGGCACAACCUGCCUGGCAGCUGGCAAGGUUCUUUAAUGAGAAGAAGAAGACAAAUCUCCAUUUCAGGAAGUCUAAAAUGGUUUGUGUGUUGGCCGUGGGGCAUCUGUGUGUUACAUGAUCUCACUCCAUUCUGGAAGAUGAGGUAUGGAUUCCAGACAGCCCACUCUAUUCUAAGACACUUGAGGGCAGGGACUGUCUUUUAUUUGUAUCUCCAUCCCCAGGGCCCACCUAGUACAGCUCCAAACAGCACAUGUUCCAUAAAUGAUGUGAUGAAAGGAAGUACUCAGGAAAGAUUAACCAGUGAGAUACAUCGUUAAGAAAACAAAAAACAAAAACAGGUUUUCCAGCCAACUGGAUCUGAACUUAGAUCCCGUCACCACUUGAUAACCAUGUAUCAUGGACUGAAUGUUUGCAUCCCCACAAAUUCAUAUGUUGAAACACUGCCCCCCAAUGUAAUGGUAUAAAGAGAUGGGCUUUGGGAGGUAAUUAGGAGUAGAGGAAGUCACGGGU